UACAGAGGGUGCAAGCGUUAAUCGGAAUUACUGGGCGUAAAGCGCGCGUAGGUGGUUUGUUAAGUUGGAUGUGAAAGCCCCGGGCUCAACCUGGGAACUGCAUCCGAAACUGGCAAGCUAGAGUACGGUAGAGGGUGGUGGAAUUUCCUGUGUAGCGGUGAAAUGCGUAGAUAUAGGAAGGAACACCAGUGGCGAAGGCGACCACCUGGACUGAUACUGACACUGAGGUGCGAAAGCGUGGGGAGCAAACAGG
rnacentral:rRNA from 1 species